AGUCAAUGAUCUAACGAUUGAUCUAGUUACUUAGAAAGAUGAUAAUACCAUAGAAUAAUUAAAUAAAAUUAAUUAUUAAUUUAUAAUUAUAUAAUUUAUUAUAUAAUUAUAAUAAUGAAAAGGUAUAAAUGUAAAAUAUAAAAUCUAAAUAUAUAAUAAAAUGAUGAUUAAUUAUAUAUAAUAGUCUUAACAAAUAAUAGUGCCAGCAGUUGCGGUAAUACUAUUAAGGCUAACGUUAAUCAGUAAUUGGCUUAAAGGAUCCGUAGGAUGGUAUUAUAUUAAUAAAUUAAUAUGUAGAAUACUAGAGUUUAUAGAAGGAUUUAAGAAUAGUUAAAUGAGAGCUAAUAUUCUGUGAAAUUAAUUAGACUGUCAAAGGUGAAGACAUAAAUCUAAAAAUAAACUGACAUUGAGGGAUGAAGGCAUAAGUAGCAAAAAGGAUUAGAUACCCUUGUAGUUUAUGCAGACAACUAUGAAUACCAUUUAUUAUAUAAAUAAUAUAAUAAAUAAGUGAAAACGAAAGUAUUCCGCCAGGAGAGUAUAUUCGCAAGAAUGAAAUUCAAGACAAUAGACGGUUACAGAUCUCAGCAGUGGAUUGUGUUAU
rnacentral:rRNA from 1 species